rnacentral:lncRNA from 1 species
GUAGUUGUUGAACCUCAAGGUGCGCUCACGUGUCGGUCAUCAACACUCGCAGUUUUGGCCGAUUCUGGCAUGUUUCGUGGACUAUUACUCACCGAUUUGGGGUCCCGCAGCGAUUUCCAUAGUUGUUGAACCCCAAUGUGCGCUUACGUGUCGGUCAUCAACACUCGCAGUUUUGGCCGAUUCUGGCAUGUUUCGUGGACUAUUACUCACCAAUUUGGGGCCUCGCAGCGAUUUCCAUAGUUGUUGAACCCCAGGGUGCGCUUACGUGUCGGUCAUCAACAGUCGUUGUUUUGGCCGAUUCUGACCCGUUUCGUGGACUAUUACUCACCGAUUUGGGGUCCCACAGCUAUUCCCAUAGAUGUUGAACCCGAAGGUGCGCUGACAUGUCGGUCAUCAACACUCGCAGUUUUGGCCGAUUCUGGCCUGUUUCGUGGACUAUUACUCACCGAUUUGGGGUCCCGCAGCGAUUUCCGUAGUUUUUGAACCCCAAGGUGCGCUUACGUGUAGGUCAUCAACACUCACAGUUUUGGCCAAUUCUGACCCGUUUCGUGGACUAUUACUCACCGAUUUGGGGUCCCGCAGCGAUUCCCAUAGUUGUAGAACCCCAAGAUGUGCUUACGUGUCGGUCAUCAACACUCGCAGUUUUGACCAAUUCCGGCCCGUUUCAUGGACUAUUACUCACCGUUUUGGGGUCCUGCAGCGAUUUCCAUAGUUGUUGAACCCCAAGGUGCGCUUACGUGUUGGUCAUCAACACUCGCAGUUUUGGCCGAUUCUGGCC